rnacentral:rRNA from 1 species
UACGAAGGGGGCUAGCGUUGCUCGGAAUCACUGGGCGUAAAGCGCACGUAGGCGGAUUGUUAAGUCAGGGGUGAAAUCCUGGAGCUCAACUCCAGAACUGCCUUUGAUACUGGCGAUCUUGAGUCCGGGAGAGGUGAGUGGGAACUGCGAGUGUAGAGGUGAAAUUCGUAGAUAUUCGCAAGAACACCGGUGGCGAAAGCGCUCAUCUGGCCCAAUACUGACGCUGAGGC